rnacentral:rRNA from 1 species
ACAUGCAAGUCGAACGGUAACAGGUCUUCGGACGCUGACGAGUGGCGCACGGGUGAGGAACACGUACACAAUCUACCUUAUACUGGAGAAUAGCCCCGGGAAACUGGGAUUAAUACUCCAUAGUCUUUAAUGAUCACAUGAGAAAUAAAGUAAAGCUUCGGCGGUAUAAGAUGAGUGUGCGUCCCAUUAGAUUGUUGGUGAGGUAACGGCUCACCAAGUCGACGAUGGGUAGCUGGCGUGAGAGCGCGACCAGCCACACUGGCACUGAGACACGGGCCAGACUCCUACGGGAGGCAGCAGUAGGGAAUAUUGGUCAAUGGACGAAAGUCUGAACCAGCCAUGCCGCGUGGAGGAUGACUGCCCUCUGGGUUGUAAACUCCUUUUAUAUGGGAAGAAACCUCUGGAUUCACUCCAGAGCUGACGGUAUCAUAUGAAUAAGCACCGGCUAACUCCGUG